rnacentral:rRNA from 1 species
AGAGUUUGAUCAUGGCUCAGGAUGAACGCUAGCUACAGGCUUAACACAUGCAAGUCGAGGGGCAUCAUGGGAGGACUUCGGUCCUUUUGAUGGCGACCGGCGAAUGGGUGAGUAACACGUAUCCGACCUGCCCUGUACUGGAGGAUAGCCUCCCGAAAGGGAAAUUAAUACUCCAUGUGUCAAAUGUCCGCAUGGUCGUUUGAUGAAAGAUUUAUCGGUACAGGAUGGGGAUGCGUUCCAUUAGCCAGCCGGCGGGGUAACGGCCCACCGGGGCGACGAUGGAUAGGGGUUCUGAGAGGAAGGUCCCCCACACUGGAACUGAGACACGGUCCAGACUCCUACGGGAGGCAGCAGUGAGGAAUAUUGGUCAAUGGCCGCAAGGCUGAACCAGCCAAGUAGCGUGCGGGAGGACGGCCCUAUGGGUUGUAAACCGCUUUUAUACGGGGGUAAAACGCGCCACGUGUGGUGUCUUGCAAGUACCGUAAGAAAAAGGACCGGCUAAUUCCGUGCCAGCAGCCGCGGUAAUACGGAAGGUCCGAGCGUUAUCCGGAUUUAUUGGGUUUAAAGGGAGCGUAGGCGGGAUGCCAAGUCAGUUGUGAAAGUCCGCGGCUCAACCGUGGAAUUGCAGUUGAAACUGGUAUUCUUGAGUGUACAUAACGAAGGUGGAAUUUGUGGUGUNNNNNNNNNNUNNNUANNNANNANGAANNNCNNNNNNNNNNANGGCAGCCUUCGGGGGUACUACUGNNNNGUGAGGCUCGAAGAGUGCGNGAAAUCAAACAGNAUUAGAUACCNUGGGUAGUCCGCACNGUAAACGAUGGACACUCGUGGUUGGCCCUUGUGGUCAGUCACCCAGCGAAAGCGUUAAGUGUCCCACCUGGGGAGUACGCCGGCAACGGUGAAACUCAAAGGAAUUGACGGGGGCCCGCACAAGCGGAGGAACAUGUGGUUUAAUUCGAUGAUACGCGAGGAACCUUACCCGGGCUUGAAUUGCAUGGGGCGUGGUCAGAGACGGCCAUUUCUUCGGACCCAUGUGAAGGUGCUGCAUGGUUGUCGUCAGCUCGUGCCGUGAGGUGUCGGCUUAAGUGCCAUAACGAGCGCAACCCUUCUCUUCGGUUGCCAUCGGGUAAUGCCGGGCACUCCGGAGACACUGCCAUCGCAAGAUGUGAGGAAGGUGGGGAUGACGUCAAAUCAGCACGGCCCUUACGUCCGGGGCUACACACGUGUUACAAUGGGAGGUACAGAAGGCCGCUACCUGGUGACAGGAUGCCAAUCCCGAAAGCCUCUCCCAGUUCGGAUCGGAGUCUGCAACCCGACUCCGUGAAGCUGGAUUCGCUAGUAAUCGCGCAUCAGCCAUGGCGCGGUGAAUACGUUCCCGGGCCUUGUACACACCGCCCGUCAAGCCAUGAAAGCCGGGGGUGCCUGAAGUCCGUAACCGCGAGGGGCGGCCGAGGGCGAUACAGGUGAUUGGGGCUAAGUCGUAACAAGGUAGCCGUA